GUGCUCACUUCGCCAGCACAUAUAAUAAAAUUGAAAUGAUACAGAGAUUAGCAUGGCCCCUGAGAAAGGACGAUAAUUAAAUUCAUGCAGUAUUCCAUAUUCUC